GCUGUAGCUCAAUGGUAGAGCACCUGCCUUGCAUACAGAAGACGCCAGGUUCAAUCCCCAGCUUCUCCA